CAGAUAAGAAGAGAGUACACAUCACCAUAUGGAGCCUUGUAAAGCUCUGGAUUCUAUGUGAAACACAUUUUGGUAACAUUAUAAACAAACCCAUGUGGCACUAGGGCAGUGCAAAUAACUGCUUAGUCUGCAAAGGCUCGUCCAUCUCUUAGGAAAAGAAUAUGAUAGAACAACUGCACAGUGAGUAACAGCAACCUUCUGAUAGUCCUAGGAAGCUGCUUAGCCCAGCAGACUCAGCCCCCACAAAGCAGAGAGCUUUAUGUUCACAUUAGCUGGGGCCUCUGUGGGCGUGUGUCCUUGGCUCAGGGUCAAAUGAUUGCAUAACGCUUCUCAUAAGUGAGUCUGCAGAACAAGAAACCAGAAGGGCAAGAAUGCUUAAAAGGACAGCUGGCAAACCCAGGAGACACUCUCCAGAGGUGCCUUGGCCCCUGGGUUUGAGAGCUCCUUUCUGAAGAGAAUUCACACAUCCCAGCAGAUGAGCCAGGGGGGUCCAUGGUAGCAGAUGCACUUGUGAAGUGAGUUGUGGUUGCCCUGGUUUCCCCAUUGUUAGUACAUACUGGUUGAAAUGAUUUGUUGAUGGAAUAGUGACCAAAACAAUUAUUUUGUUGUCCUUGUCGUGAUGGGCAUAAAUGGUGUUGACCAGAAUUGAGAGAUUGUUUGGGUUGUCAAGGCCAUUCCUCCUGACCUGAGGUCUUUGUCACACUUCAUCUUCUAGAACAAGACAGAAUGAAGUUUACAGACACUGUCUUCUGGUCCUCCAAACCCCUGCUUCCUCCACAUCAUAUACACACCAGAUUCAGCUACUCAAAAACAGUCCAUUUCAGCGUGAUGCUCUAAGACACAGACGCCACAAAAAGGUAUUUUUACACUCUCUGGUAUUUGCCAAGGUUAUUUUGUAGGCUUGCAUGUUCACGCUAGCAUGUCAGUGGCCUCUAAAUGUCUCCUGAUCCAUGCCCAUUGUUUGACUGAAGUGUCAUCCUAUUCAGAGCGCUGUCUUAGCUUUGAGAUCUGAAUGGCUAGCUUCCCACAGGCAUGAAUAAGUCAGUCACCGGAUUUUGCUACAUUUUCUACUCAGGCUUUGCCUGAAAUAGAAUUCUCUA
rnacentral:lncRNA from 12 species